AUACGGAGGGUGCGAGCGUUAAUCGGAAUUACUGGGCGCAAAGCGUACGUAGGCGGUUGGUUAAGUUAGAUGUGAAAGCCCCGGGCUUAACCUGGGAACUGCAUUUAAAACUGGCGAACUAGAGUUGAGUAGAGGGGAGUGGAAUUUCAGGUGUAGCGGUGAAAUGCGUAGAGAUCUGAAGGAACACCAGUGGCGAAGGCGACUCCCUGGACUCGAACUGACGCUGAGGUACGAAAGCGUGGGUAGCAAACGGGAUUAGAAACCCUAGUAGUCC
rnacentral:rRNA from 1 species